UCUGUAUGUGUAUCGUCUUGUGAGAGUUUUCAGUUCACCAGUAAACCUGUUUAUAGAUAGCUGAAGUCUCAAGCCUCAUUACUGGUGCCAGUGCUUCUACGAAAUUCCUCCAUUGACCUGUAUUGGAAGAAGAAGGGUAAGAUAAGAAUAUUUCUAUUAGUGAAGAAAUGCCCUACCAUUGCAGAAAAAUAACAAAGGGU
rnacentral:lncRNA from 11 species